rnacentral:rRNA from 1 species
AGUGAACGCUGGCGGUAGGCCUAACACAUGCAAGUCGAACGGCAGCACAGUAAGAGCUUGCUCUUACGGGUGGCGAGUGGCGGACGGGGGAGGAAUACAUCGGAAUCUACUUUUUCGUGGGGGAGAACGUAGGGAAACUUACGCUAAUACCGCAUACGACCUACGUGUGAAAGCAGGGGAUCUUCGGACCUUGCGCGAUUGAAUGAGCCGAUGUCGGAUUAGCUAGUUGGCGGGGUAAAGGCCCACCAAGGCGACGAUCCGUAGCUGGUCUGAGAGGAUGAUCAGCCACACUGGAACUGAGACACGGUCCAGACUCCUACGGGAGGCAGCAGUGGGGAAUAUUGGACAAUGGGCGCAAGCCUGAUCCAGCCAUACCGCGCGGGUGAAGAAGGCCUUCGGGUUGUAAAGCCCUUUUGUUGGGAAAGAAAAGCAGCAGGUUAAUACCCCGCUGUUCUGACGGUACCCACAGAAUAAGCACCGGCUAACUUCGUG